GUGUCAGCCGCCGCGGUAAUACAGAGGGUGCAAACGUUGCUCGGAAUUACUUGGCGUAAAGCGCGUGUAGGCCGGCUGGUAAGUCAGAUGUGAAAGCCCUGGGCUCAACCCAGGAACAGCAUUUGAAACUGCCAGCCUAGAGUGGUGGAGAGGGAAGCGGAAUUCCUGUGUAGAGGUGAAAUUCGUAGAUAUCAGGAGGAACAUCGGUGGCGAAGGCGGCUUCCUGGACACUUACUGACGCUGAGACGCGAAAGCGUGGGGAGCAAACAGGAUUAGAUACCCCGGUAGUCC
rnacentral:rRNA from 1 species